rnacentral:lncRNA from 1 species
AUGUUAGUGGUAUGUAGUAAGGGUAGUAGUGUAUAUACAGUGUUAGUGGUAUAUAGUGAGGGUAGUAGUGUACAUACAGUGUUAGUGGUAUGUCGUGAGGGUAGUAGUGUAUAUACAGUGUUAGUGGUAUGUAGUGAGGGUAGUAGUGUAUAUACAGUGUUAGUGGUAUGUAGUGAGGGUAGUAGUGUAUAUACAGUGUUAGUGGUAUGUAGUAGUGUAUAUACAGUGGUAGUGGUAUGUAGUAGUGUAUAUACAGUGUUAGUGGUAUGUAGUAGUGUAUAUACAGUGUUAGUGGUAUGUAGUAGUGUAUAUACAGUGGUAGUGGUAUGUAGUAGUGUAUAUACAGUGUUAGUGGUAUGUAGUAGUGUAUAUACAGUGGUAGUGGUAUGUAGUAGUGUAUAUACAGUGGUAGUAGUAUGUAGUAGUGUAUAUACAGUGUUAGUGGUAUGUAGUAGUGUAUAUACAGUGGUAGUGGUAUGUAGUAGUGUAUAUACAGUGUUAGUGGUAUGUAGUAGUGUAUAUACAGUAUUAGUGGUAUGUAGUGAGGGUAGUAGUGUAUAUACAGUGUUAGUGGUAUGUAGUAGUGUAUAUACAGUGGUAGUGGUAUGUAGUAGUGUAUAUACAGUGGUAGUGGUAUGUAGUAGUGUAUAUACAGUGUUAGUGGUAUGUAGCAGUGUAUAUACAGUAUUAGUGGUAUGUAGUGAGGGUAGUAGUGUAUAUACAGUGUUAGUGGUAUGUAGUAGUGUAUAUACAGUGUUAUUGGUAUGUAGUAGUGUAUAUACAGUGGUAGUGGUAUGUAGUAGUGUAUAUACAGUGUUAGUGGUAUGUAGUAGUGUUUAUACAGUGGUAGUGGUAUGUAGUAGUGUAUAUACAGUGGUAGUGGUAUGUAGUAGUGUAUAUACAGUGUUAGUGGUAUGUAGUAGUGUAUAUACAGUGGUAGUGGUAUGUAGUAGUGUAUAUACAGUGUUAGUGGUAUGUAGUAGUGUAUAUACAGUAUUAGUGGUAUGUAGUGAGGGUAGUAGUGUAUAUACAGUGUUAGUGGUAUGUAGUAGUGUAUAUACAGUGUUAGUGGUAUGUAGUAGUGUAUAUACAGUGGUAGUGGUAUGUAGUAGUGUAUAUACAGUGUUAGUGGUAUGUAGUAGUGUAUAUACAGUAUUAGUGGUAUGUAGUGAGGGUAGUAGUGUAUAUACAGUGUUAGUGGUAUGUAGUAGUGUAUAUACAGUGGUAGUGGUAUGUAGUAGUGUAUAUACGGUGUUAGUGGUAUGUAGUAGUGUAUAUACAGUGUUAGUGGUAUGUAGUAGUGUAUAUACAGUGUUAGUGGUAUGUAGUAGUGUAUAUACAGUGGUAGUGGUAUGUAGUAGUGUAUAUACAGUGGUAGUGGUAUGUAGUAGUGUAUAUACAGUGUUAGUGGUAUGUUGUGAGGGUAGUAGUGUAUAUACAGUGGUAGUGGUAUGUAGUAGUGUAUAUACAGUGGUAGUGGUAUGUUGUGAGGGUAGUAGUUAA